rnacentral:rRNA from 1 species
UACGUAGGUGGCAAGCGUUGUCCGGAAUUAUUGGGCGUAAAGGGCGCGUAGGCGGCCUGGCAAGUGGAAGGUGAAAUCCCUCGGCUUAACCGAGGAACUGCCCUCCAAACUGCUUGGCUUGAGACCGGGAGAGGUGAGUGGAAUUCCCAGUGUAGCGGUGAAAUGCGUAGAUAUUGGGAGGAACACCAGUGGCGAAGGCGGCUCACUGGACCGGUACUGACGCUGAGGCGCGAAAGCGUGGGGAGCAAACAGG